AGUGAACGCUGGCGGUAGGCCUAACACAUGCAAGUCGAACGGCAGCACAGUAAGAGCUUGCUCUUACGGGUGGCGAGUGGCGGACGGGUGAGGAAUACAUCGGAAUCUACUUUUUCGUGGGGGAUAACGUAGGGAAACUUACGCUAAUACCGCAUACGACCUACGGGUGAAAGCAGGGGAUCUUCGGACCUUGCGCGAUUGAAUGAGCCGAUGUCGGAUUAGCUAGUUGGCGGGGUAAAGGCCCACCAAGGCGACGAUCCGUAGCUGGUCUGAGAGGAUGAUCAGCCACACUGGAACUAAGACACGGUCCAGCCUCCUACGGGAGGCAGCAGUGGGGAAUAUUGGACAAUGGGCGCAAUCCUGAUCCAGCCAUACCGCGUGGGUGAAGAAGGCCUUCGGGUUGUAAAGCCCUUUUGUUGGGAAAGAAAAGCAGCAGGUUAAUACCCCGCUGUUCUGACGGUACCCAAAGAAUAAGCACCGGCUAACUUCGUG
rnacentral:rRNA from 1 species